rnacentral:rRNA from 1 species
ACACUGUACGAGUUUGAUCCUGGCUCAGGAUGAACGCUAGCGGCAGGCCUAAUACAUGCAAGUCAAGGGGAUAGCAAUAUCACCGGCGGACGGGUGCGUAACGCGUACACAACGUGCCCAAGGGCGGAGGAAAGCGGCGGGAAACUGCCGGUAAUACUCCAUGGUGUUGUUGAGUGGCAUCACUUAACAACUAAAGUACAAGCGCCCUUGGAUCGGUGUGCGUUCGAUUAGCUAGUUGGCGGGGUAACGGCCCACCAAGGCUUCGAUCGAUAGGGGGUGUGAGAGCAUGACCCCCCACACGGGUACUGAGACACGGACCCGACUCCUACGGGAGGCAGCAGUGAGGAAUAUUGGACAAUGGGCGGAAGCCUGAUCCAGCCAUGCCGCGUGAAGGACGAAGGCGCUCAGCGUUGUAAACUUCUUUUGGAUGGGAACAAUAACUCCGACUUGUCGGAACUUGAGGGUACCAUCAGAAUAAGCACCGGCUAACUCCGUG